GGACGAACGCUGGCGGCGUGCUUAACACAUGCAAGUCGAACGAUGAAGAAGAGAAACGCGAACUUCGGUUCAAAUUUCACUUCGGAUUAGUGGCAGACGGGUGAGUAACGCGUGAGCAACCUACCUCUUACAAAGGGAUAGCCUCGGGAAACCGUGAUUAAUACCAUAUGACACAUUCAUAAGGCAUCUUAAGAAUGUUAAAGCUACGGCGGUAAGAGAUGGGCUCGCGUCCCAUUAGCUAGUUGGUGAGGUAACGGCCCACCAAGGCGACGAUGGGUAACCGGCCUGAGAGGGUGAACGGUCACAUUGGAACUGAGACACGGUCCAAACUCCUACGGGAGGCAGCAGUGGGGAAUAUUGCACAAUGGAGGGAACUCUGAUGCAGCGACGCCGCGUGAGCGAUGAAGGAAUUCGUUUCGUAAAGCUCUGUUCUAUGGGAAGAAAAGGACUGUACCAGAGGAGAAAGCCCCGGCUAAAUACGUG
rnacentral:rRNA from 1 species